AUUGAACGCUGGCGGCAGGCUUAACACAUGCAAGUCGAGCGGGGUGAUGGUGCUUGCACUAUCACUUAGCGGCGGACGGGUGAGUAAUGCUUAGGAAUCUGCCUAUUAGUGGGGGACAACAUCUCGAAAGGGAUGCUAAUACCGCAUACGUCCUACGGGAGAAAGCAGGGGAUCACUUGUGACCUUGCGCUAAUAGAUGAGCCCAAGUCGGAUUAGCUAGUUGGUGGGGCAAAGGCCUACCAAGGCGACGAUCUGUAGCGGGUCUGAGAGGAUGAUCCGCCACACUGGGACUGGGACACGGCCCAGACUCCUACGGGAGGCAGCAGUGGGGAGUAUUGGACAAUGGGGGGAACCCUGAUCCAGCCAUGCCGCGUGUGUGAAGAAGGCCUUAUGGUUGUAAAGCACUUUAAGCGAGGAGGAGGCCCUUUUGGUUAAUACCCAAGAUGAGUGGACGUUACUCGCAGAAUAAGCACCGGCUAACUCUGUGCCAGCCGCCGCCGUAA
rnacentral:rRNA from 1 species